AACGCACAUUGCGCCCUCUGGUAUUCCGGGGGGCAUGCCUGUUCGAGCGUCAUUUUAGACCAUCAAGCCUUGGCUUGGCAUUGGGCGCCGUCCCCGUAGCGGACGCGCCUCAAAGACCUCGGCGGCGGCGCGGAGCCUCAAGCGUAGUAGAAAUAUCCCGCUUACGGAGGAGUCGUGUCGCCCGCUCCUAAAGACCAAACAUUCAAAGGUUGACCUCGGAUCAGGUAGGGAUACCCGCUGAACUUAA
rnacentral:misc_RNA from 1 species